rnacentral:rRNA from 1 species
UACGGAGGGUGCAAGCGUUAUCCGGAUUCACUGGGUUUAAAGGGUGCGUAGGCGGGCAGGUAAGUCAGUGGUGAAAUCUCCGAGCUUAACUCGGAAACUGCCAUUGAUACUAUUUGUCUUGAAUAUUGUGGAGGUAAGCGGAAUAUGUCAUGUAGCGGUGAAAUGCUUAGAUAUGACAUAGAACACCAAUGGCGAAGGCAGCUUACUACACAAUGAUUGACGCUGAGGCACGAAAGCGUGGGGAUCAAACAGG